CCAUACUUAGCGGCAGACGGGUGAGUAACAUGUGGGUAUCUACCCUUUGGCCUGGAAUAACACGAGGAAACUUGUGCUAAUACCGGAUAAGUCUUUACGGAGAAAGCUUUAUGCACCAUUGGAUGAGCCCGCACUUGAUUAGUUUGUUGGUAGGGUAAUGGCCUACCAAGACUAUGAUCAAUAGCUGAUUUGAGAGGAUGAUCAGCCACAUUGGGACUGAGACACGGCCCAAACUCCUACGGGAGGCAGCAGUGGGGAAUCUUGCACAAUGGAGGAAACUCUGAUGCAGCGAUGCCGCGUGAGUGAAGAAGGCCUUUGGGUUGUAAAGCUCUUUCGUCGGGGAAGAAAAUGACUGUACCCGAAUAAGAAGGUCCGGCUAACUUCGUGCCAGCAGCCGCGGUAAUACGAAGGGACCUAGCGUAGUUCGGAAUUACUGGGCUUAAAGAGUUCGUAGGUGGUUGAAAAAGUUGGUGGUGAAAUCCCAGAGCUUAACUCUGGAACUGCCAUCAAAACUUUUCAGCUAGAGUAUGAUAGAGGAAAGCAGAAUUUCUAGUGUAGAGGUGAAAUUCGU
rnacentral:rRNA from 1 species